AUUGAACGCUGGCGGCAGGCCUAACACAUGCAAGUCGAGCGAGCGGCGGACGGGUGAGUAAUGUAUGGGGACUGCCCGAUAGAGGGGGAUAACUAAUGGAAACGGGUGCUAAUACCGAAUACUAUCGGAUAAACAAUAUGGGAUUAGCUAGUAGGUGGGGUAAAGGCUCACCUAGGCGCCGACCUCUAGCUGGUCUGAGAGGAUGCUCAGCCACACUGGGACUGAGACACGGCCCAGACUCCUACGUAGGCAGCAGUGGGGACUAUUGCACAAUGGGCGCAAGCCUGAUGCAGCCAUGCCGCGUGUAUGAAGAAGGCCUUAGGGUUGUAAAGUACUUUCAGCGGGGAGGCGUUACCCGCAGAAGAAGCACCGGCUAACUCCGUGCCAGCAGCCGCGGUAAUAC
rnacentral:rRNA from 1 species